rnacentral:rRNA from 1 species
GUGGAUUAGAUACCCGAGUAGUCCACGCCGUAAACGAUGAAUGCCAGCCGUUAGUGGGUUUACUCACUAGUGGCGCAGCUAACGCUUUAAGCAUUCCGCCUGGGGAGUACGGUCGCAAGAUUAAAACUCAAAGGAAUUGACGGGGGCCCGCACAAGCGGUGGAGCAUGUGGUUUAAUUCGACGCAACGCGCAGAACCUUACCAGCCCUUGACAUGUCCAGGACCGGUCGCAGAGACGUGACCUUCUCUUCGGAGCCUGGAACACAGGUGCUGCACGGUUGUCGACAACU